CACUUGUAUACGAUAAAAAAAUAAAUUAUGAAAAAUUUUACCCAUCAACAAUAAUAGUUACAGAGGGUGAGAUAAAUCACGGAACUUUCGCACCCACUGACCAUCGAUCCUAGAAUUAUUCACGACAACGCCACUGUAUAAAUCAUCUAGGCAUUACUAAUAGUCCAAUUGCUUUGCCAUCCGAAAUAGGAGCAGCCAUGGCGGUCGUCGCUGCAAUCUCCUGCCGUUUGCCUCACGGAACCUCAAGCGAUUGCUUCUCUCUCUUCCACUCACUCCCUGUUCGGAUCCCCCGCGGCAGGGCUUCCACGCGCCAGCCGUGCCGGCGGAGACCGGCCGCCUCGGUCCGCUUUGUGCUCAGGGAGGUAGAGUGGGAGGAGGAGGAGAGUAAUGGGGGCCGCGUUUCUAUGGCCGAUGCUCUGAUUAAGGAAGAGGUGGAAGUGAAAGGAAAAGAGGAGCUGCGAAUCGCGUCUGACCAUCGGAUGGCGGAGAGAAAGGUGAGGAAAGAGGCGGGGCGGCGGACGUACCUAAUCGCGGCGGUGAUGUCCAGCCUCGCCAUCACCUCCAUGGCGGUCGCAGCCGUCUAUUACCGAUUCACCUGGCAAAUGGAGUGUUGCAGGGCGGCGAGGUUCCGGCGACGGAGAUGUUGGCGACGUUCGCUCUCUCCGUGGGCGCGGCGGUGGGAAUGGAGUUAUGGGCGCGUUGGGCGCACCGGGCGCUGUGGCACGCCUCUCUGUGGCACAUGCACGAGUCGCACCAUCGCCCGCGCGACGGCCCCUUCGAGCUCAACGACGUCUUCGCCAUCGUCAACGCCGUCCCCGCCAUCGCCCUCGCGGCCUACGGCUUCUUCAACCCCGGCCUCCUCCCCGGGCCUCGGGAUUACGCUGUUCGGAAUGGCCUACAUGUUCGUCCACGACGGCCUGGUCCACCGACGGUUCCCGGUGGGCCCCGUCGCCAGCAUACCCUACUUCCGCCGGGUCGCCGCCGCCCACCAGAUCCACCACAUGAACAAGUUCGAGGGGGUGCCUUACGGUCUGUUCUUGGGGCCUGAGGUCAUGCCGCGCCUCAUCCAGAUAGAUAAUAUUGCAGUGCACAAACACAGCGACAUGGUAGCUAGGGAACAGGACGGAGUAUAUCUAAUCUCGUCGUCGUUUGCUGCAGGAGCUGGAUGAGGUGGGUGGCCUGGAGGAGCUGGAGAAGGAGAUCGCCAUGAGGAAUAAACUCUACAGCAGCUCCAAUUGACCAACCCGAGCAGUGCAGUCGAGCUUGAUCAAGUUUUUUCUACUGGAUAAUGUGCAGCUCAAGCAACGGCCGGGUUGGGAAUCAAACAAUUGAGAAGAUUUCGUUGUGAAGAUCUUUGUACCCGAAUUUGUCGGUUAUUGUAAUAAUAUAUAUAGUCCAAACUUUGCCAGCAGAUAGAACUCACAUGUAUAAAAUGAUUCUAUUCGAGCAACAAUGCUAGAAAGGUGAUUAUACCCGCGUCGUUUACCGUU